rnacentral:lncRNA from 1 species
AUCCCUGUGGUGUCACGGCAGGAAGGGGACAAUCCCCAUGGUGGCCCCAGGGCAGUGUCACAGCAGGAAGGGGACACUGGGGGCUGUCCCAAGGAUGUCCCUGUGGUGUCCCCACGGUGUCCCCACAGUGUCACAGCAGGAAGGGGACACUGGGGGACAUCCCUGUGGUGUCACAGCACAAUGGAGGAUGUCCCCAUGGUGUCCCCAAGGCGGUGUCACAGCAGAAAGGGGACACUGGGGGCUGUCCCCUCAAUGUCACAGCAGGAAGGGGACACUGAGGGACAUCCUGGCGGUGUCACAGCAGGAAAGGCACAAUGGGCGAUGUCCCCUGGAUGUCCCCUGGGUGUCACAGCAGGAAGGGGACACUGGG